GAUUACUAGAAAUUAUCCAGGCAGGAGAGAAGACUUCAAAAGAAAAUUGUGGUAUUUAAACAAAAUCACUCUUUAACUCACUUUUAUUUGUUCAUAUUCACUUCAUCACUUGUUAAAAAAAUUUCUGAGAUACAGAGAGAGGAACAAUAUGAAGGAGAAAAAAUAUUUAGAAACCUUAAGAGCCAUUAUGGCCACAACAGAUAGACAAAGAGACACAUUAGCAAAAGCAAAAUCUUGAGGAAAAACUCAAGAGAAAGGAGGACCGCUCCGCUGAGAUAGUACAUUUCCUUCAGCUUUGGAGGGGACAGGGGAAGAGUCUGGCAGAGAGCAGAGUUGCAGCUGAGGCCUGGAGGCCAGCUGAGCUGCAGGAAGGAGGGUGGAUAGGAGCUGGCCACUCUGGGAAACCCUGCAGUAGGGUCUGUAUAUAAAACCAGUGGGAAAGUGGAUGGGAUGGCAGGGGACAGAGUCGUGUGACACAACUGGAAUAAAACUGGUCACCACUUAAAGGAUAAGUGGAUAACCAAGCCACACAGUCCAGUGUUAGUCCAGGCAUGAAAAAAGAAGGAAAGGCUGGCCCUGGUCUGUGAGAAGAGACAUUCAAAGAAAUAGCAGUGGAAGGGACAUUCUGAAGAUAGAAUCAAGUGGUCCCAGAGAUAACAGAAUGUUGGGACAAAGACAAGCAGCACAACACAGAUUUCUCACCUAUAAUUUGGAAAUAAUGAAUAAUUUGUUAUGAAAAAUAAUUUAAAAUGUUUAACAUAAGGUUUGGAAGAUAAGCUAAUAACUAUCCUCAGGCCUCUGUUCUGAGUUUCAGGUUCUCAUUUACCACUGUUGUUGGAGUGGAAGACUCUACCUUAAGUCUCACACUCUCCCCUCCACAGUUCUUUUUCCUCCUUUCCUACAUCUGCUACCAGGAUCACAACCAGCUCAGUCAACUCCAGUGUCAACAGUGCCAUUCAGAAUCCAUGUGUUCUUUAAAGAGCUAAGAAGCACCGGCUAUAAGGCAGCUAAUGUGUUGCCCCAGCAAUCAAUCAUCACUGAGAACCUACUGUGUGCUGGGAAGGAACCAGAAACCAGCAAGAUACUACCUAAGUGCUUUUCCCUACCUGGAAAAGUCAUUUGGAUAAUUCAAAACCAGUGCUGGGGAACCCAGGACAUUGUGCUUGCUAGAUUAUGUCGAACAUCCAGAAGAAACCCUGAAGCACACCAAGGAGCUGCUAUCCUCUCACCAGCCUGAGUGCUGAUCAGCUGUGCCUGAGGCCUACUGCAAACCCACACCCAGAACUACUCUCAUUCUCUACCUGCUGGUUCCCAUCUGCUGACCUUACUAGAGUGAAUUCCAUUGUGGCUGAUGAUGAGUCUUGCUCUAUUGAUCUUGACCUCACUGACUUUGUAGUUUAAAGUUUUAGAAUACUUAGAGAAUUGGCUUUUAAUUAGCACAAAUCUGUACACCUGCCCAAGUUGCAUGCUAACCUGACCUGUGUGUGCAUGAUUGCUAGUACUUAUGCUUGGUCUACGUGCCUCCACAGCUGCUGUUCCACCUCUCUCAUCAGUGGCUGCCAGUCAUCACACUACUCCUCCUUGUGAGUGAGUUUCCACUGGGCUCUCUGAACAUGCGCAUGAGAAACAACUCCUGACAGGCACACCGAAUGCUAAAUGAAUAGUUUUCUUUAAGGAAUAAAAUUUUUAACUGAUUUUAUAACUCUUCUCUAUAGUUUUUACAAGUAUCUGAUCUGUAGUUAAUAAUAACUUAUAUGUGACUUGAAGACUUGCCAAGACUGUAAAUUUUUUUAAAAUAACAAUUUAUUUUAUUUAUGAAAGCAAAAGCCACUCAUUAUAGAAAAUACUCAUAGAAGAAAAGGACAUUAAAAUUUACCUGUGAUUUAACCUAUUGUUAUUUCUGUUACUUUUAGGGGUAUGUAUGUUUAUGUUUGUUGAGGCGGGGCAGGGUAUUUGGAAGAUUUACAUAAUUCAAAUCAUACUGUGCAUAUGAUACUAAGCACUUUCCCCACCGAAUUUUAUAUUGUAAGCAUUUUUCCAUAUAUUAGUAAAAAUUAACUAU